rnacentral:rRNA from 1 species
UUAAAUUGAAGAGUUUGAUCAUGGCUCAGAUUGAACGCUGGCGGCAGGCCUAACACAUGCAAGUCGAACGGUAACAGGAAGAAGCUUGCUUCUUUGCUGACGAGUGGCGGACGGGUGAGUAAUGUCUGGGAAACUGCCUGAUGGAGGGGGAUAACUACUGGAAACGGUAGCUAAUACCGCAUAACGUCGCAAGACCAAAGAGGGGGACCUUCGGGCCUCUUGCCAUCGGAUGUGCCCAGAUGGGAUUAGCUAGUAGGUGGGGUAACGGCUCACCUAGGCGACGAUCCCUAGCUGGUCUGAGAGGAUGACCAGCCACACUGGAACUGAGACACGGUCCAGACUCCUACGGGAGGCAGCAGUGGGGAAUAUUGCACAAUGGGCGCAAGCCUGAUGCAGCCAUGCCGCGUGUAUGAAGAAGGCCUUCGGGUUGUAAAGUACUUUCAGCGGGGAGGAAGGGAGU